rnacentral:rRNA from 1 species
CACGGGUGCUUGCACCUGGUGGCGAGUGGCGAACGGGUGAGUAAUACAUCGGAACGUACCUUAUCGUGGGGGAUAACGCAGCGAAAGCUGUGCUAAUACCGCAUACGCCCUGAGGGGGAAAGCGGGGGAUCGAAAGACCUCGCGCGAUUAGAGCGGCCGAUGCCUGAUUAGCUUGUUGGUGGGGUAAAAGCCCACCAAGGCGACGAUCAGUAGCUGGUCUGAGAGGACGAUCAGCCACACUGGGACUGAGACACGGCCCAGACUCCUACGGGAGGCAGCAGUGGGGAAUUUUGGACAAUGGGGGAAACCCUGAUCCAGCAAUGCCGCGUGAGUGAAGAAGGCCUUCGGGUUGUAAAGCUCUUUUGUCAGGGAAGAAACACCGGCUCUAACACAGUCCGGGAAUGACGGUACCUGAAGAAUAAGCACCGGCUAACUACGUGCCAGCAGCCGCGGUAAUACGUAGGGUGCGAGCGUUAAUCGGAAUUACUGGGCGUAAAGCGUGCGCAGGCGGUUAUACAAGACAGGCGUGAAAUCCCCGGGCUUAACCUGGGAAUGGCGCCUGUGACCGUAUAGCUAGAGUGUGUCAGAGGGGGGUAGAAUUCCACGUGUAGCAGUGAAAUGCGUAGAUAUGUGGAGGAAUACCAAUGGCGAAGGCAGCCCCCUGGGAUAACACUGACGCUCAUGCACGAAAGCGUGGGGA